AUUUAAAUUAAGGCACAACAGUCAGCAAAAUCCACUAGGCAUCUUUAUCUAGAUUAUUUAUUUAGAUGCCUAGUGGAUUUUGCUGACUGUUGUACCUUAAUUUAUAUAU